rnacentral:rRNA from 1 species
GACGAACGCUGGCGGCGUGCUUAACACAUGCAAGUCGAGCGGAGCGGCGAACGGGUGAGUAACGAGUGAGUAACUGCCCCCCUCUCUGGGAUAACAGUUGGAAACGGCUGCGAAUACCGGAUAGUGGGGGAUGACUCGCGUCCUAUCGGCUUGUUGGUGGGGUAGUGGCCUACCAAGGCGACGACGGGGAGCCGGCCUGGGAGGGCGACCGGCCACAUGGGUCUGAGAUACGGCCCAAACGCCAACGGGAGGCAGCAGGGGGGAAUAUGGCACAAUGGGGGAAACCCUGAGGCAGAAACGCCGCGGGCGGGAUGACGGCCUACGGGUUGGAAACCGCUUUCAGUCAUGACGCGGUAGUGGCAGAAGAAGCACCGGCUAACUACGUGCCAGCAGCCGCGGUAAUUC